GUACUUACUUCAGCAGCACAUAUACUAAAAUUGGAACAAUACAAAGAAAAUUAGCAUGGCCCCUGCACAGGGAUGACAUGCAAAUUUGUGAAGCAUCCCAUAUUUAA
ensembl:snRNA U6 U6 spliceosomal RNA